AUCAACAUGAUCAAAAGAAUUUUACAAUGGUUACUUGAGUUGUGAAAUAGAGACAGUUUGGCUAUCUAGGCUGUGCUUCAAUUAAAACUCAUUGGCAUACAUCUACAAAACUCCUCGUUACAGUUUACAGGGGCUUGGCAAAAAGGGAGCAAUUUGACUUGGUGUAAACGACUAUUUUGAAACCGUUGAGAUCCCUACCCCUUAACCAUAGAUCAUUGCUAGGCAUCAAAAUAUAAACAUGCAGAUGUCGUAAAUAAAGGCCCUGGUGUCUCCCCACCCUAGAAGACUGAAGUUCCUUUGUUAUAUCUUCGAUACCAUUCAGAUCCCCACCCAUAACCACAUAUAGCAUUGCUGGGCAUCAAGGGACAAAGACAAUCUGAUGUAAAAUUAAGCCCAGGGGUAUUUCCCCAUCCUUAGGGACUUGGUUUCUUUAAACACAAUCAUGUUGAGUCUGGACUUCGUUUCUGGGUUAUAUCUGAAGCAGUUUAGAUCCCCACCUCAAAUCCAUAUAAAACAUUGUUAGACAUCAGCAAAUAAAGCUACUAACAAAUUGAACAUGAGCAUUAUUUUGACUUUUGCUCAAAUCAAGGUGUGCCUCUUGUUUUUUUCUCUCUAUAAAAUUCAUCCCUCCAAAUAAUUGUGACCAAAUCAUAACUUAAGUAAAUAUGAACGUCCCUGAAACAUGGCCUCCUAAUAGAAAGGGAAUUGUUUUGAUGCGUGAAGGUCAAGUCAUAUAAUCUGUUUAUAAAACUUUACACAGAGAACCCUUGUUAACUCACCUGUUCCAAAGGACCAAGGUGAGCUAAUGCCAUACCGUGGCGUCUGUCUGUUGGUCAACAAUGUGACUUCUUCCUAACUGCUGAUUGGAAUUAAACAAAAAUUGACUGGUAGCAUCGUUAUGGGAUGGGGAUUCAAAAUUGUACAAAUGGGGGCUUGAGUAUUUGUCUCCAUUUGAAAUAUUGGAGAUAUUUUAUUAGCACUGGUUAUUCUUGUCCAGGCGACAACUUUCAAACCAUUACAGGUGUCUUUGUUCUUGUCCAGGUGACAACUUUCAAACCAUUACAGGUGUCUUUGUUCUUGUCCAGGUGACAACUUUCAAACCAUUACAGGUGUCUUUGUUCUUGUCCAGGUGACAACUUUCUAACCAUUACAGAUAUCCUGAUGAAUCCAUAAAUUUUUUAUAUUUAUAAACCUCUGAAUAUAAAAUACACUGAAAUUUAACACUUUCUCUUGGACCUCAAAGUUAAAGAUCAUACAGAUGCAAAAUUUAAAUAUAAUCUUGUCCCAAGUUUGAACUAGAAUAUGAAACCCAUUGAAAUCUCAAACUGUAUGUAACGUCCACAGUGAAUACUGUUUACAGUGUACUGAUCGUAGACCCCUGUGACCCUUACUAAGGUCAAAUAAGUACAUUUAUAGUUGGUUCUUUCACAAUGCUGAAAUUCUACAUUCUCAUUUCUACAUUUACAGAACGUAUACAAUGUAUUGCAAUUACUACAGGCUUUAGCUCAAGGUCACUGUUGCUAGAAUUUUACUGAACAUAGCUUUUGAUAUAUGUAUCUUGGCAUAAAGAUAAGCUCAUGAAAAUGACAUAAAAAAGUUAAGGUACAGGUAGUUUUUCUGUGAAGUCAAAAAAUAUUUACAGAACACAAUGAAAUAGGUACUUGGGCUUUCACUUGACCCAUGACUGCUGUUGAUUGUUUUUGACUCCCUAGAAUUAAUUUUGACAAUGUUUACACGGUAUAAAUGUUCUCGCACUGAUUUUGACUCCUGUCCAUCGUCAACUGAAGGCCAUGGUACUAAUCUUACCUAGGUGCGAAAGUCUAAAUUGAAAAAUGAAUACCCGUUUAUCAUUAGCUAUGAAAUUUUGUCAUAGAAUAGAUAUUUGAGAGUUUUAAGGGCUGUUGUCUGUGGGUACGCUAAGAAAUUAGGGUACUGUUUCUUGAUCCUAUUCACUUUGUCAAGUUAAUCUUUGAAAUCAGAGCAUGUAAAUCCUUGUUACAUAAAUGUAGAUGAGCAAAACAAAUUUGUUUGUUCCUUUCAGUAAAUGUUGCUAAAAAUAGAGCUGGAUUAUACCGUCCUAUAUAGAGAACAUAAAUCUAGAGUAAGGCAUUGCUAAAUGCUGAUUUGACAGAGAACUAGUUGAGUUACUAAAACAACAAAAUAUAACACUUGUCUUAGUUUU